rnacentral:rRNA from 1 species
AACGAACGCUGGCGGCAUGCCUAACACAUGCAAGUCGAACGAUCCCUUCGGGGAUAGUGGCGCACGGGUGCGUAACGCGUGGGAACCUGCCCUUAGGUUCGGAAUAACUCAGAGAAAUUUGAGCUAAUACCGGAUAAUGUCUUCGGACCAAAGAUUUAUCGCCUUUGGUUGGGCCCGCGUUGGAUUAGCUAGUUGGUGGGGUAAAGGCCUACCAAGGCGACGAUCCAUAGCUGGUCUGAGAGGAUGAUCAGCCACACUGGGACUGAGACACGGCCCAGACUCCUACGGGAUGCAGCAGUGGGUAAUAGUGGACCAUCGGCGGAGGCCUGAACCACCAAUGCCGGGUGAGUGAUGAAGGCCUUAGGGAUGUAAAGCUCUUUUACCCGGGAUGAUAAUGACAGUACCGGGAGAAUAAGCCCCGGCUAACUCCGUG